AGUAAUGCGUGCUGGAGAACGUAGUCCCCCAGGUUCCCGUUUGGUCCUAUCCCGCCUCACUUUCGUCAAGAGAACUUUCCCAUCUAUUUCUGCCUGUUGAAGAAGGGACUCCUUACAGAGAGGCUCAGACCAUGCUGUCCACAGUCCAAGGCUGCCCUAGGAGAUAACGCUUAAACAUGCCAGAGCCUGAAGUGGGUGAGCAAUAAACACUGGUGAUGAUCCUCCCCGGGAGGUGACGAGCUCAGGCCAGGAGGCCCUGGGAGAGAGUGCUGCGGGGAUGCCAGGGGUCCACACCUGGGAAGACGAAGAUGAAGCAGGCGGCCAGGCCUCCAAUGACCGAGAUGACCUUGCCGAUGUCAGGGAUGAAGAGCGCCAGCAGCAGGGUGAGCAGGAACCAGACCAGCGUCUGCAGUACUCGCCGCCGCCGCUCCCGCCCCACGUCCUCCUCCACCGGCAUCCCCUGGUAGCGCAGCCACAGGCCUUCGACCACCGCCCUGCCCACACGGAGAGCGGCUCAGAGGCGCCCCUGCUAACAGCUCCCCACCUCCAGCCAUGGGGCCAGACCCCCGACUGGGUGGAUUGCAGGACUCCCCCAUCCUGCCUGUAACGUGGAUUCCAUCCCAGGAUGGGGAGUGAGCUAAGGGGACAAAAGGGACCUUGCAACUAGCACCUGAAAUCCGAAGCAGAUGGUGGGCAUGGCAUUGAACACGGCUAUCCAGGAAGCUGGCCUGCGGACAAACACACAAGAUGCUGCUGCCUGGGAACCCCUCAGAGUCACCAAGCGCCACCAUGCUCUUACUCUUCAUUCAGCCCCCCACGGCCUCCACCAGCCAGCAUGCACACAUUCAACCCACAGAAGUCUGGGAACUGGGAGAGGACACAUUUACAGGGAACAACCAACUUAUUUGUUCGAAAGUGCUGACAAAAUGCACACUCCUCUCUCCUUCCUCCCCUUCCACAUAUGGAAGCUGAGUGACACUGCAUGUCCCUAUAAGCCAAGUAUAAAGGAGCUCUGAAGGAUCAGUGGUGGGAAGGGCAGAUGGCUGGGGAAUGGCAAAGCGCCUUUACCAUUGUUUCCGCAAAUCCGGGCUGGUCAGAAUGGUGGAGGCAAUCCGGGCCCCAUUGAGAGGAGGGUUGGAAUACAUGGGUCGGAUCAGGAUCUUCAACUGUGAUUCUACCCUCUUGGCUUCAUCAGCAUCUUUGCAGACCACAGUGAAAGCUCCCACGCGCUCCCCUGAAAAGACAAAAUGGAUCUUGUCUUCUGGUUCUCCUAUCUAAAAUACUAAAGGCAGUCAUGAUUCCAUUUGCCAUGUGUUAUCUGUUUCCAUCAGAAGCACAAAAUAACGCUUUGUUAUAAACAAGAAGUUUUCAACAACCAGCAUGGUGAAUCUACAACAGAAAGUUGGAGUACUAGAGAGUGGUCACAGGUCUCUCUUCAUUGUUUCUAUCUUCUUGGCUCACAGAGCAGUCACUUUUUGUUUAGAGAAGCCGUGACAGGUUUCUUUGCUGGAGGAAUUCAGGGACACUGAAUAAGAUAUGGCUUAGAGCAGUAAAAUCCACUCUACCCGUCUUUCCUCUCUGGGUAAGAGGGACACGGACAACACACGCACACGCACAACCCACCCCUUCCAAGACUACACCUUUGUGGCACCCUCUCCCACCACUUCUUCAGUCUCAACAGAACACAUAUCACCCUAGGUCCUUUAGCUUACCGUAUAAGCCCAUGUUCUUGGCAUAGGACUGGCAGAGACAAACAUUAAUGCCCUGUUCGAUGAAAUGGCGCACAGCCCAAGCAUCCUUGUUACCAUCGCCACUGGCAAACCCUUGGUAGGCCAUGUCAAAGAAUGCAAAAAGAUUGUUUUUCUGGAAAGGAAAGAAGAGAUGACCAAAGCUUUAGGCAGUUCUUCUCAAGAUGCCCCAGAUGGUUACCUGUGCUUAUUGGGACCAUGCCUGCUUCAUUCAGACAAAGUCAACAGUUUUCUCCCCAGGUGGCAGUUUGGAGAUGUUUAAUUUUCCUAGAGUUAAGAUAUCAAUAUAUAUAUUUUUUUAUUCAAUACUUUGGUGGAUAUGGGCCUUCAA